rnacentral:rRNA from 1 species
GACGAACGCUGGCGGCGUGCUUAACACAUGCAAGUCGAGCGGUAAGGCCCUUUCGGGGGUACACGAGCGGCGAACGGGUGAGUAACACGUGGGUGACCUGCCCUCAGCUCUGGGAUAAGCCUGGGAAACCGGGUCUAAUACUGGAUAUGACUCCAUGACGCAUGUUGUGGGGUGAAAGCCUUGUGCGGCUGAGGAUGGGCCCGCGGCCUAUCAGCUUGUUGGUGGGGUGAUGGCCUACCAAGGCGACGACGGGUAGCCGGCCUGAGAGGGCGACCGGCCACACUGGGACUGAGACACGGCCCAGACUCCUACGGGAGGCAGCAGUGGGGAAUUUUGGGCAAUGGCCGAAAGGCUGACCCAGCAACGCCGCGUGAAGGAUGAAAUCUUUCGGGAUGUAAACUUCGCAAGUCAAGGAAGAAUAAGCUUGCACAAAUAAU